AUGCAGGCCCGAGGAUACCCGCCUGAAAGUAACGCUCAUGGCUCUGGAGAUGAAGGAAAAACACAAAAUGACCGACGCAUGCUUCGACGAGCACAUGUCAUUCUGGCACGAAUGUCUUCCCAAGGGAACAAGUGCCUGACCAGUUUCGAGGAGGCGAAGAAAAUCGUCUGUCCUCUGGAUUUACCGCACAUGAAGUACCAUGUGUGCAUGAACAAUUGCAACAUUUAUCGGGACGAGCACGCGGAGUCUACCAUAUGUCCGGUGUGCGGUGUCACUCGAUACAAGAAGAGGAAGGAAGCUCCUCGAAAAGUGGUGUGGUACUUUCCGAUCACUCCUCAUCUGCAGCGGUAUUUCGCGGACCCUAAGCUAGCAAAGCUCAUGCGUUGGCACGCGGAUGGGGAGGAGAAGAAGCGAGAAGAUUACGGAAAUGAUCCGAAGAUAAAUAAAAAAGACAAGAUGCUGAGUCACCCUAAUGAUGCGAGCCAGUGGCAAGCGUUGAACUUCGAACACCCAGAAUUUGGGAAUGAUCCAAGGAACAUCAUGCUGGGCGCGAGCACCGAUGGAGUCAAUCCGUUUGGCAGCCAGAGAAGCACACAUAGCACCUGCCCUGUGUUUGUGUGGAUGUACAACCUUCCCCCCUAG
rnacentral:rRNA from 1 species